rnacentral:rRNA from 1 species
UACGAAGGGUGCAAGCGUUACUCGGAAUUACUGGGCGUAAAGGGUGCGUAGGUGGUUUGUUAAGUCUGCUGUGAAAUCCCCGGGCUCAACCUGGGAAUGGCAGUGGAUACUGGCAAGCUAGAGUGCGGUAGAGGGUAGUGGAAUUCCCGGUGUAGCAGUGAAAUGCGUAGAGAUCGGGAGGAACACCAGUGGCGAAGGCGGCUACCUGGACCAGCACUGACACUGAAGCACGAAAUC